AUGUAGUGUAGCAUGCCCGUUUGUGGAAUUACUCUGAUGUGAAAUUUUAUUAUUAUUUAAAUGAUUUUGGAUAACGGGAUGUUACACAUUCA
rnacentral:pre_miRNA from 1 species